rnacentral:lncRNA from 1 species
AGCUUGGUCAUACAGGGGGUCAAUUUCUAGUUCUUUUGAGAAACUGUCACAAUGGUUUCUAGAGUGACUGUCUGAGAUUCUCAUGGUCUAGGUAACACUCCUCUUCCUUUGCUUCUCAUUCUGAGGGUAAAAUGAAUAACUGUCAACUCUAAAAGUUGCAAAUGUUUCUAUUCAUAUAGAAGGGGGAAGACAUGAUCUUUCCUUUAGUAUUUCCUGGCCUGGAAAGCUUUUAAGGGAGUGAGAAAUCAGUGCGUGAUUUUAAAAAGUAUUGCUCCACUCCCGUGACUCCACAUGGAAAAUGAUUGUGUUUAUUAGCAAAGGAAGAGCUGCAUGUAAAUAUUUGAGUUUUAUUAUUUUUUAUGCAUUUCUAUUCUUUUCUAUAUCAAGAAUGAUAAGGCCUGCCUCUAAGGUUCACAUAAUUAAGUAAAAUUUACAAGUACAAUUAUUACCAUAUUAGAUCAGUAUUUCUUGGGCAUAGUCAGUAUGGUGGUGUCUACAAAUUGUUGUUUAAUACUUUGUGUCAACAAAUCCCCUAUGUAUGACCCACACAUUCUACUGCAUAUGCUGCAAGUAGCCUAACUUUAACUGAAGCUAAAAGAUCCAAAGGUCACUUAGGAAAAUAACUUAGUAAAGACAGUUCAAAGUCACUUAAAAGCCAAUUGCUGCCCCACCCUCCCAAAGGAAAUUAUAUUUUAUGAAGUUACCUAAAAUUUUGAAAUUGAACCAAUGUCUAGCACCUACAUAUCCUCAUUCAAAAGGCUUUUUACUUAAGUUUUGGAGUUUCUUGAUAUUUUCCCAGGUUCCAUAUCCAAUUCUGCCAGAUAUCACAGUGCUUAACAAACUUAAUUGCAACUGUGGAUCUAGAGAAGAGUGGUGGAUUGUCAAGCUCCACCUGCACUUACCUGUGUUCCCAGUAUUUAUUCUGGCGACGUAAUACCAAUCAUACAACUUCUACUAUAACGUAAAAUAAAGAACUUAUAAAU